GACGAACGCUGGCGGCGUGCUUAACACAUGCAAGUCGAACGGAAAGGCCCUGCUUUUGUGGGGUGCUCGAGUGGCGAACGGGUGAGUAACACGUGAGUAAACUGCCCUUGACUUUGGGAUAACUUCAGGAAACUGGGGCUAAUACAGGAUAGGAGCUCCUGCUGCAUGGUGGGGGUUGGAAAGUUUCGGCGGUUUGGGAUGGACUCGCGGCUUAUCAGCUUGUUGGUGGGGUAGUGGCUUACCAAGGCUUUGACGGGUAGCCGGCCUGAGAGGGUGACCGGCCACAUUGGGACUGAGAGACGGACCAGACUCCUACGGGAGGCAGCAGUGGGGAAUAUUGCACAAUGGGCGGAAGCCUGAUGCAGCAACGCCGCGUGCGGGAUGACGGCCUUCGGGUUGUAAACCGCUUUCGCCUGUGACGAAGCGUGAGUGACGGUAAUGGGUAAAGAAGCACCGGCUAACUACGUG
rnacentral:rRNA from 1 species